GUAUCCCUUGUUGGUGCGCUGCUAGGUACCCUGAUGUGCCUUCAACCCAUGGGUGCCAUGUGGCUGUACGACCAUUGGCGCGAUGCUCGCAACAUGAAGUGGAAACUUCUAGUGGUCUGGUCCAUCUUCAUCAUCGUUGCUGGUUGGUUCUUGACCAUUGCUGGAACGUACGGCUCGAUCGUCGGUAUUAUCAACAGCUAUAAGGCCUCUGGAGGAUCUGCU
rnacentral:misc_RNA from 1 species